GAUGAACGCUGGCGGCGUGCCUAAUACAUGCAAGUCGAGCGAACAGAUGAGGAGCUUGCUCCUCUGACGUUAGCGGCGGACGGGUGAGUAACACGUGGAUAACCUACCUAUAAGACGGGGAUAACUUCGGGAAACCGGAGCUAAUACCGGAGAAUAUAUUGAACCGCAUGGUGCAAUAGUGAAAGACGGUUUUGCUGUCACUUAUAGAUGGAUCCGCGCCGCAUUAGCUAGUUGGUAAGGUAACGGCUUACCAAGGCAACGAUGCGUAGCCGACCUGAGAGGGUGAUCGGCCACACUGGAACUGAGACACGGUCCAGACUCCUACGGGAGGCAGCAGUAGGGAAUCUUCCGCAAUGGGCGAAAGCCUGACGGAGCCACGCCGCGUGAGUGAUGAAGGUCUUCGGAUCGUAAAACUCUUUUAUUAGGGAAGAACAACUGUGUAAUUAACCAUGCACGUCUUGACGGUACCUAAUCAGAAAGCCCCGGCUAACUACGUG
rnacentral:rRNA from 1 species